CUGUGUGUUGUCUGACGAAUAAAAGCUGUAGCCUAUAGAUCAGAGCGAGGCUUUUUAACCGGGUACAACCAGCUAGGCUUAAAGGAAACAUUUCGUCUUAAAUAUAGAGCAGAGGUUGCUACCGAGCGAUAAAGGUCUGAAAAGCUACGCAAACAUGAGCGACAAGGGGACAGUCUCACCGAAAGAGAAGGAAGCCACAGAGAAGAGAGGGCGUGGAAGACCCCGUAAGCAGCCGCAGGUAAAAACCUCUGACGAACCAAGUGGGUCCCCUACUCCAAAGAGGCCCAGAGGACGGCCGAAGGGCAGCAAAAACAAGACAACCGGCAAGGGCAAAAAGGCAACGGCAGCCCCAUCUGCAGGGGGAAAACGCAGGGGAAGACCUAAGAAGGAGGAAAAGGAAGAAAAAGCAUCCCAGGAAUCAUCUGAGGAGGAAGAGGAAGAGGACCAGUAAUUCACAACGCAUGCUACCUCACUCAACAUACUGACUUACUGUUAACCAGAACUGGGCUGUAUCUCCAAUGCCAGUGCCACCACAUGACCACUGUUCACGACAAAGCCCCCUUUUGCCAAAGGAGGGUUAACACAGUACAUAUAUCAUGCAACAGCACUGGAUAGAACGAUGGACUUGCUCAAGCAUAGAUCUAAGAAUUACAUGAAAGAUGGAGUUGAGCUUCAGCAUUUAGGAUGAGAAUAGGUAACUGAUGGUAGAAGUAUCUUUUCCUAAUCUGCAUAACUGACUUCACCCACCCGAUUAGAGGAGAACCAUCUUUAGCCCUCUUCCUGUAGGACAGUUUAGAUUUUAGUGAUGCUUCUCAGACUUUCUUCUCAGUUCUCUGCGUAUAGUGGAGAGAUGUAAAAGUGUAUCAUUAGACUCGAUCUGACUUACUGUUUUGUUUUGUUUUUGUUCCUUCGGGUUACAUUUUAAAACACGUGUGCUGCUUCUCAUGUUAUAAUAAAACUCUUUCGUAUGUGUGUUUUUUUUAAGGUUGGCAGAGUUCUAGGCUUAAAGUCAUCAGUGUCGUUUCUUCAGGGAGCUUUUACAAAUGCUGUUACAUUUGGCGUCUUUGUCCUCACAUGGUCCUCAGUUUUCCAAGCCCUCACUCUCAAUCACUUAUAAGGCAAACUGCAAUUGAUCGGACAAGGAGUUUGAUUGUAACACAGGAUAGUUGGUGGCACUACUAUCCAACAGGGCUGUAUUAUUUUAUUUUUUUUUCCCCUCAUUCCAUCUAGAUCUGACUGCUUCGCCUAGCUUGGUCCUCCUGUCAUCACUUAGUAUGGUAAUAAUAAAAAGAAACUUUUUCCUUAGUCUUUUGAAGAUGUGUGUUGUAUGCCGUCUGCUAUGGUUAAAGAAAACUUUUGUGUAUUUCUAAGUGUCAGGGAACCCACAGUCACAGUCCACUUAACUGGGUUUUUCCACACACCUAAGCUGCUACAACCUCAGUUACGAAACCCGGAAAACUGCAAACAGGCAAGACAAUGCCUGGAAUUUCAUACCUCACUCAAACGGCUUAUUUUACCAUUUAUUGCAACUGGUUUUCUUUUUUUUUCCUUUUUUUUUUUUAAUGUAACCUCUGGCAUGAGUUGACAAUGUUUGUAUUUUUUUUUUUUUUUCCUCUCCUGACUGUAAUGAGAAAUCCAAGAGGUCGAGCAUGUGAUUGUGUGACGACACCAACACUUCUUGGCUCAUUCAUAACCGGAGCUUGCAGACAGGUUUUUGUUUUUGUAAAUGUGUGAAGCAAGUCAGGGAGACCUGUCAGCUUGACGACUGUGUUCGCUGACUGUGGUAGAUUAGCAAGUGUGUUUUUAUCCUUUUAAGAAAAAAAUCUUCUGGUGCACUGAAAUGUUAGUUCAGAUUUUCAUGGACAAAUGUUUGUGAUGGACUGGGCGCUUUUUCCAUGUUCCGUUGGCCACCGUGUGUCUACCACUGCCACACGUAGCCAUCCUCACCAUACUCGUACAACGGUCAUUUCAUGUCCUCUAUCAACUUCCUAGUCUUGAUAUCAUGUCAUUUUACAUAGUAACGUCAGUCAUCCGUUGAUUUAUAUACUGUAAACUCAAUAGGAUGGGAUCAUUCUUUUUAAUGUACACGUAUAUAAAUGUACAAUGUCUAUAUUUCUAUGGUGCCCUACAACAAUUUGUAUCAGAAAAUGGUCAAUAAAGAGAAUUUUCUUUGUCA